UACGUAGGGGGCAAGCGUUGUCCGGAAUCAUUGGGCGUAAAGCGCGUGUAGGCGGCUUGGCAAGUCGGUUGUGAAAGCCCGGGGCCCAACCCCGGAAUUGCAUCUGAAACUGCCUCGCUAGAGUCCCGGAGAGGAAGGCAGAAUUCCCGGUGUAGGGGUGAAAUCCGUAGAUAUCGGGAGGAAUACCAGCGGCGAAGGCGGCCUUCUGGACGGUGACUGACGCUGAGACGCGAAAGCGUGGGGAGCAAACAGG
rnacentral:rRNA from 1 species